GGACGAACGCUGGCGGCGUGCCUAAUCCAUGCAAGUUGAGCGCUGAAGGUUGGUACUUGUACCGACUGGAUGAGCAGCGACCGGGUGAGUAACGCGUGGGGAAUCUGCCUUUGAGCGGGGGACAACAUUUGGAAACGAAUGCUAAUACCGCAUAAAAACUUUAAACACAAGUUUUAAGUUUGAAAGAUGCAAUUGCAUCACUCAAAGAUGAUCCCGCGUUGUAUUAGCUAGUUGGUGAGGUAAAGGCUCACCAAGGCGAUGAUACAUAGCCGACCUGAGAGGGUGAUCGGCCACAUUGGGACUGAGACACGGCCCAAACUCCUACGGGAGGCAGCAGUAGGGAAUCUUCGGCAAUGGACGAAAGUCUGACCGAGCAACGCCGCGUGAGUGAAGAAGGUUGUCGGAUCGUAAAACUCUGUUGGUAGAGAAGAACGUUGGUGAGAGUGGAAAGCUCAUCAAGUGACGGUAACUACCCAGAAAGGGACGGCUAACUACGUG
rnacentral:rRNA from 1 species